CAGCAGUGGGGAAUAUUGCACAAUGGGCGAAAGCCUGAUGCAGCGACGCCGCGUGAGCGAAGAAGUAUUUCGGUAUGUAAAGCUCUAUCAGCAGGGAAGAUAAUGACGGUACCUGACUAAGAAGCACCGGCUAAAUACGUGCCAGCAGCCGCGGUAAUACGUAUGGUGCAAGCGUUAUCCGGAUUUACUGGGUGUAAAGGGAGCGCAGGCGGUGCGGCAAGUCUGAUGUGAAAGCCCGGGGCUCAACCCCGGUACUGCAUUGGAAACUGUCAUACUUGAGUGCCGGAGGGGUAAGCGGAAUUCCUAGUGUAGCGGUGAAAUGCGUAGAUAUUAGGAGGAACACCAGUGGCGAAGGCGGCUUACUGGACGGUAACUGACGUUGAGGCUCGAAAGCGUGGGGAGCAAACAGGAUUAGA
rnacentral:rRNA from 1 species